rnacentral:rRNA from 1 species
UACAGAGGGUGCAAGCGUUGUUCGGAAUUACUGGGCGUAAAGCGCGUGUAGGCGGCGGUAUAAGUCGAAUGUGAAAUCCCUCAGCUCAACUGAGGAAGUGCAUCCGAUACUGUAUCGCUUGAGUACCGGAGGGGAUGGCGGAAUUCCAGGUGUAGCGGUGAAAUGCGUAGAUAUCUGGAGGAACACCGGUGGCGAAGGCGGCGUCCUGGACCAAUACUGACACUGAUGAGCGAAAGCCAGGGGAGCAAACGGG